CCUACGUGAGGCAGCAGUGGGGAAUAUUGUGCAAUGGGCGAAAGCCUGACGCAGCGACGCCGCGUGAGGGAUGAAGGUCUUCGGAUCGUAAACCUCUGUCAGCAGGGAAGAACGGUCACUGUGCUAAUCAGCAGUGAAUUGACGGUACCUGCAAAGGAAGCACCGGCUAACUCCGUGCCAGCAGCCGCUGUAAUACGGAGGUUGCGAGCGUUAAUGGGAAUUACUGGGCGUAAAGCGCUCGUAGGAGGUAUGUCAAGUCAAGGGUGAAAUCCCCGCGCUCAACGUGGGAACUGCCUUUGAAACUGGCAAACUGGAGUGUGUGAGAGGAUAGUGGAAUUCCAGGUGUAGGAGUGAAAUCCGUAGAUAUCUGGAGGAACAUCAGUGGCGAAGGCGACUAUCUGGCACAUAACUGACGCUGAGGAGCGAAAGCGUGGGUAGCAAACAGGAUUAGAUACCCCGGUAGUC
rnacentral:rRNA from 1 species